UACGUAGGGCGCAAGCGUUGUCCGGAUUCACUGGGUGUAAAGGGUGCGCAGGCGGACUGGCAAGUCAGGGGUGAAAUCUCACAGCUCAACUGUGAAACUGCCUUUGAUACUGCUGGUCUUGAGUCAGGGAGAGGUUGAUGGAAUUCCAGGUGUAGCGGUGAAAUGCGUAGAUAUCUGGAAGAACACCGGUGGCGAAGGCGGCAUCCUGGACCGGUAUUGACACUGAGGCGCGAAAGCCAGG
rnacentral:rRNA from 1 species